rnacentral:rRNA from 1 species
GAUUAACGCUUGCGGCAUGCCAAGACAUGCAAGUCGAACGAAGUGGCAAACGGGUGAGUAACACGUGGGUUACCUGCCUUCAAGUUGGGGAUAUCACCUGGAAACGGGUAGUAAUACCGAAUGCUUGAAGAUGGGCCUGCGGCGCAUUAGCUAGUUGGUGAGAUAAUAGCCCACCAAGGCGACGAUGCGUAGCCGAACUGAGAGGUUGAUCGGCCACACUGGGACUGAGACACGGCCCGGACUCUACGGGAGACAGCAGUUAGGAAUAUUCGUCAAUGGGGGAAACCCUGAACGAGCAAUGCUGCGUGAACGAUGAAGGCCCUUCGGUUGUAAAGUUCUGUUGUUUGGAAAGCGGUACCAUUCAAGAAAGCCACGGCUAACUACGUGCCAGCAGCCGCGGUAAUACGUAGGUGGCGAGCGUUAUCCGGAUUUAUUGGGCGUAAAGCGUCCGCAGCCGGCUUAUUAAGUCUAAGAUUAAAGCCCGAGGCUUAACCUCGGUUCGUUUUAGAAACUGGUAGGCUUGAGUGUGGUAGAGGCAAGUGGAACUUCUAGUGUAGCGGCAAAAUGCGUAGAUAUUAGAAAGAACACCAGUGGCGAAGGCGACUUGCUGGGCCACCACUGACGGUCAGGGACGAAAGCGUGGGGAGCAAAUAGGAUUAGAUACCCUAGUAGUCCACGCUGUAAACGAUGAGUACUAAGUGUCGGGCGGUGCUGAAGU